rnacentral:rRNA from 1 species
AUGUCUGGCGGAGGCCGCAAGGUCCUGAUAUUCCCCAACCGAGCGGAGCUGGGUCGACCGCGAGCAGCGUCGACAAAGUCGAUGGCGAUAGGCGAAAUGUUUAUGCAUGUCACAAAAAAUUAUGUCAUUGAACACUAUUGGUCAUCGGAGUCGUCGCCGGGGUCAUCACCAGAGUCGGUGUGGAACUCCGCCUCCGGCUCGGCGUCGAGGAUGCAAGCGGAGAGAGAGGAUUCGAGCACGCCUCCGUCAAUUCACACACCUGCACGCACGCCUCCCAGUCUGCCUACGCAGCGGAUUGCUCGCAUGCGUCCCGUCAACUCACGCCUGCUCGCACGGCACACGGAAGUUUUGAUUUUACCGAAAUGCAGACACUGUUUUUUGCGACGCCAAAAUCGACGAGGGAACUGCAUCAGACAGAAAAACACACUGCACCAGAUGACCGCAGAGACAAGGGCAAGUGAACCCCAACAUGAUCAAAAAGAGCUAAGGAACUGCACGACAUCAUCCGGUUGUUGUCCCGUUGAGGACACUGAAGUAAAGAGGGCUUUUCAUACACUCCUCACCUACAUCGGAAACGUGGUAAAGAAUCCUGAAGAGGAGAAAUUCAGAAAGAUCAGACUUACGAAUACUACAUUUCAGGCAGUUGGGAGCCUCGGGGGCAUAUAUUUUCUCGAGCUGUGCGGGUUUGAGAAACCGGAAGGCGACGAAAUCUUGUUUCUGGCAAGGGACAAGGUUGACAAGGCCGUCCUGAAUGUCGCUGGAGCCGAGCGCAACUCUGCAAUCACCAAUCCUUUCUUUGGAGUUAUAUGA